GAUGCUGCUGUACGCUGCUGGAUCAGCUUUAAGCAGGCCUGUGUAUGCUCCCUCCUCUAUCAGAAUAAAUGGCAUUAGGUCAUGUUGUUACAGCACGACCUAGCGAAGAACCAUGUGUUCUUCAGGAUGGAAUCAGUGAGCCAGCAGGCAAAUGCCCAGGGGAUUGCCCCUGACAUCCCUCCCGCUCAUCGGCAGUACUGGACAAUAGGUCAGGUAUGUUACAGGAAUCUUUCACUUUCUUCUGAAGCAUCAGGCAUUGGUCAUUGCCAGAGACAAAAUACCAGACUGGAUAGACCAAUGGCUAGAUGUGGUUGCACAAAUCCUAUGCUCCUAUGUGUCAGCAACUGUGCUCUGUUCUUUCUGGAUGCAGUUCUGUAAGUUUAACAACUCACACAAUUUGCUCUGUGAUGCACCAACCUAUCUAACUUACUUCAAUCUUAGUCCUUCCUGUGCCACUGAAACACCUGGCAGUCCAUUUUUUCCAUUUAUUAUGAUCACUUGCUAGUUGUGCUAAUUCUUUCCAGGUGAUGCUAACACACACUAUACCCCCUCUCACUGUCUUCUGCCAGUUUUUUCUUGGCCUUCCUCACUUUCUCUUUCCUCCCUCUGGUACCCAAUUCAAUACAUGCUUAGCAUGUUCUCCCAUGUUCCAUACAACGUACGUGUCCCAACUACCUGAGCCUUCUUUCUUUGAUGAUACUUUCUAACAUGUUCUGCUCUGUCAACUCCCUUACUCUCACAUUUUGUCUUUUAAUUAAAUGUGUAAUAUCUUCCUCAGCAUCUGUGAUGGGCAGCCUCCAAUCACUUUCUGUUAGCCACAGUCAUCGACCAGGUGUUACCUCCAAACAGUAGUGUGCUCACUACAGUCACAUAGUGUAAUCUGACUGUUAGUUUGGUAUGCAGACCUUUGUUUGACCAGAUGAUGUUCAUCUUUCCAGAAGUGGUGUUUGCUUUCCUUAAUCUCGUAUGAAUAUCUUUAUUGCAGCAACUUCAGAUGUCAUCACACUCCCCAGAUAGCAGAAAACUCUUCUACCUGUUUGAUUUUUUUUCUAUCCAUGUAUGCCUUUGCACCUGUUGUCCAGUUUCCUACUUUCAUAAUUUUGGUUUUCUCUGCAUUUACUCUCAAUCCAAUUUUUGCUGCUUCCUGUUCUACCUCUGAUGUAUCUGAUCAACAUACCAAGGUAUUUAGAUGGUGGAAGAAGAUGUACAGUAAGAUUGGAUACAGGCCUGGGUGAGUAGUUCAAAACUGUGACAAGAGUUAGACAAGGGUGUGUGUUAGCAAUAGACAACAGCUUCGUGGAUGGUGUAAAAUGGGUUAGUGGAGACAAGUUACACAACCUUGACUUUGCAAUGACAUUGCUUUACCUGCCUAUCACUCAGAGAAAAUGAAUUGGCAAUAUCCAAGGCAACUCUCCCUCCGCCCCCUGCUAGCAGCUCUGACAGAAGCCCCUGGGAAAAUAACCAUUAAGCAAACAUCUGUGCUCUUCCCUAUCAAUCACCAUCUCAACAGCCCCAAUAGUGAGGGCUGACAUAAAGGAUCUGCCAAUUUUACCAGAACCCAAACUUGGAGAUGGCAGAGAUUAGCAGAAACUCUGACACAAGAGUAAUAAAGACCUAGAGAUGUACCA
rnacentral:lncRNA from 1 species